rnacentral:sRNA from 1 species
AGGUGGACCAGUAAGGCACACCUGGGCAGUGCUCUGUUCACAUCUGGCCUGCACCUCCUCUCAUCCUGCCUUCACAGGUGCUUAGGAGAACAUGCAGUAGAGCUUUUCAUCAAAUAAAUGGAACACGUUGCAGAAUUUUGCUAACAUGGACAACUCUGCACAGAAAAAUGAACGCACUGGCAAACAUCCGAGAUGUGCCAGUGAAGUACAGAAAGGUACAUGUGUCUUUGCAGAGAGGAGAUAGCUCCUGACAUAUGCUUAUUUUAGUAGAUAAGAGCAAAUCUGGGGGGAAUAGUAAGUCCUGGGUUAUAUCCACAGGGCCAUCCUUACAGAUAGAUGGCUUUAGGCCCUACUGUUUCAAGUGUGAUGAUUGGGAAGAAACUGUGAGGAGAAAGGAUGAGAGAAGAAGGAGGAAGUCUGUUUAAAAAUAAAAAACUAAUAAACAAAA